CAGUAGCCGCGGGAAUACGGAGGAUCCGAGCGUUAUCCGGAAUUAUUGGGUUUAAAGGGUGCGUAGGCGGAUAGAUAAGUCAGUGGUGAAAGACGGUGGCUCAACCAUCGCAGUGCCGUUGAUACUGUUUAUCUUGAAUAUGGAUGAGGUAGGCGGAAUGUGGCAAGUAGCGGUGAAAUGCAUAGAUAUGCCACAGAACACCGAUUGCGAAGGCAGCUUACCAAGGCAAAAUUGACGCUGAGGCACGAAAGCGUGGGGAUCGAACAGGAUUAGAGACCCCCGUAGUCCCUGUCUCUUAUAU
rnacentral:rRNA from 1 species